AUAAUGGGUCAGCGACUUAUAUUCUGUAGCAAGGUUAACCGAAUAGGGGAGCCGAAGGGAAACCGAGUCUUAACUGGGCGUUAAGUUGCAGGGUAUAGACCCGAAACCCGGUGAUCUAGCCAUGGGCAGGUUGAAGGUUGGGUAACACUAACUGGAGGACCGAACCGACUAAUGUUGAAAAAUUAGCGGAUGACUUGUGGCUGGGGGUGAAAGGCCAAUCAAACCGGGAGAUAGCUGGUUCUCCCCGAAAGCUAUUUAGGUAGCGCCUCGUGAAUUCAUCUCCGGGGGUAGAGCACUGUUUCGGCAAGGGGGUCAUCC
rnacentral:rRNA from 1 species